AAGCCAUGCAUGUCUAAGUAUAAGCAAUCAUACUGUGAAACUGCGAAUGGCUCAUUAAAUCAGUUAUCGUUUAUUUGAUAGUACCUUUACCUGGAUAACCGUGGUAAUUCUAGAGCUAAUACAUGCUAAAAACCCCGACUUCGGAAGGGGUGUAUUUAUUAGAUAAAAAACCAAUGCCCUCUGGGCUCUUUGGUGAUUCAUAAUAACUUAACGAAUCCCUUGGCCUUGCGCCGGCGAUGGUUCAUUCAAAUUUCUGCCCUAUCAACUUUCGAUUGUAAGAUAGAGGCUUACAAUGGUAUUAACGGGUAACGGGGAAUAGGGUUCUAUUCCGGAGAGGGAGCCUGAGAAACGGCUACCACAUCCAAGGAAGGCAGCAGGCGCGCAAAUUACCCAAUGCUAAUUCAGCGAGGUAGUGACAAUAAAUACUGAUACGGGGCUCUUUCGGGUCUCGUAAUUGGAAUGAGUACAAUCUAAAUCCCUUAACGAGGAACAAUUGGAGGGCAAGUCUGGUGCCAGCAGCCGCGGUAAUUCCAGCUCCAAUAGCGUAUAUUAAAGUUGUUGCCGUUAAAAAGCUCGUAGUUGAACCUUGGACCUGGCUGAUCUGUCCUCCUAAUCGAGCGCACGGAUUCGGUCGGGUCUCUCCUUCUGGGGAGCCCUAUGCCCUUCACUGGGUGUAGUGGGGAACCAGGACUUUUACCUUGAAAAAAAUUAGAGUGUUCAAAGCAGGCCUUUGCUCGAAUACAUUAGCAUGGAAUAAUAGAAUAGGACAUCGGUUCUAUUUUGUUGGUUUCUAGGACCGCUGUAAUGAUUAAUAGGGACAGUUGGGGGUAUUCGUAUUCAAUUGUCAGAGGUGAAAUUCUUGGAUUUAUUGAAGACUAACUACUGCGAAAGCAUUCGCCAAGGNUGUUUUCAUUAAUCAGUGAACGAAAGUUAGGGGAUCGAAGACGAUCAGAUACCGUCGUAGUCUUAACCAUAAACUAUGCCGACUAGGGAUCGGACGGUGGUUUUUUUAUGCCCCGUUCGGCACCUUACGAGGAAUCAAAGUUUUUGGGCUCGGGGGGGAGUAUGGUCGCAAGGCUGAAACUUAAAGAAAUUGACGGAAGGGCACCACCAGGCGUGGAGCCUGCGGCUUAAUUUGACUCAACACGGGGAAACUCACCAGGUCCAGACAUGCUUAGGAUUGACAGAUUGAUAGCUCUUUCUUGAUUGUAUGGGUGGUGGUGCAU
rnacentral:rRNA from 1 species